AUACUUAUCUGACAUUGGGGAUGCCUUGAUCAGGAAGGAAGCUCCCUCGAGCAGAGACCUACCAUUGCAGUUCGGUGGGUUGACGUUCGUCACAUCCGCAAAUCGCGGUUGCUUGGGAUGCAUAAAUUUUGGUGCAGCCCUAUGGCGUAGUGGUAGCGCUUCGCGCAC